GACGACGUUUUCCUCAGUUGGUUAGAGCGCACGCCUGAUAAGCGUGAGGUCCCCAGUUCAAGUCUGGGCAUCCGCACCA
rnacentral:tRNA from 1 species